rnacentral:rRNA from 1 species
CCUUCACACAGGUGCUGCAUGGCUGUCGUCAGCUCGUGUCGUGAGAUGUUGGGUUAAGUCCCGCAACGAGCGCAACCCUUGUCAUUAGUUGCUACAUUUAGUUGGGCACUCUAAUGAGACUGCCGGUGACAAACCGGAGGAAGGUGGGGAUGACGUCAAGUCCUCAUGGCCCUUAUGGGUAGGGCUUCACACGUCAUACAAUGGUACAUACAGAGGGCCGCCAACCCGCGAGGGGGAGCUAAUCCCAGAAAGUGUAUCGUAGUCCGGAUUGUAGUCUGCAACUCGACUACAUGAAGUUGGAAUCGCUAGUAAUCGCGGAUCAGCAUGUCGCGGUGAAUACGUUCCCGGGUCUUGUACACACCGCCCGUCACACCAUGGGAGCGGGUUUUACCAGAAGUAGGUAGCUUAACCG